rnacentral:rRNA from 1 species
UACGGGGGGGGUAAGCGUUGUUCGGAAUUACUGGGCGUAAAGGGCUCGUAGGCGGCCAACUAAGUCAUACGUGAAAUCCCUCAGCUUAACCGGGGAACUGCGUCUGAUACUGGAUGGCUUGAGUGUGGGAGAGGGAUGCGGAAUUCCAGGUGUAGCGGUGAAAUGCGUAGAUAUCUGGAGGAACACCGGUGGCGAAGGCGGCAUCCUGGACCACGACUGACGCUGAGUGAGCGAAAGCCAGGGGAGCAAACGGG